GAGCACACCACAUGGGGUUUGCCGCCGGAGCUGUCUCCAGCCCGUGUCCAGUUUGAUUUUGAGUCUAGGUUGGAGUUGGAGCCGUGGAGAUGCGAAAGGAAACCCCGCCUCCCCUAGUGCUCCCGGCGGCCUGGGAGUGGAACCUUCCCCCUAGUGCACCAGCUUGCGUGGAACUGCAGUUGGAGGCUGCGCGGUAAGCGUCCGAUGAGUGGCCGCUGCUGGGCCGGCUCCCUCUGGCUUUUUAAGGACCCUGUGCUGCCCCCAACAAAGGCUUCUACUCCACCGGAGUCCAAACGGAGGCUGGAGUGGCUGACCUCACUUGGGCUGGGGAGAGAGGUAUUGUAGUGGCCUCCGAUUCAGGUGUUGUUGAAUUGUGGAAACUGGAUGAGAAUGAGACAGUUAUGAGACAAGUAUGAGCAUGAUGACAUUGUGUCUACAGUCAGCGUCCUGAGCUCUGCCACACAAGCCGUCAGUGGUAGUAAAGACUUCUGCAUCAAGGUUUGGGACCUUGCUCAGCAGAUGGUACUGAAUUCAUACCGAGCUCCUGCUGAGCAGGUCACCCAUGUUGCUGCUUCUCCCCACGACGAUUCUGUGUUUCUUUCAUGCAGUGAGGACAAUAAAAUUUUAUUUGGGAUACCCGCUGUCCCAAGCCAGCGUCAUGGAUUGGCUGCAGUGCCUCUGGCUGCCUUCCUACCUCCCUGGCUUGGCAUCCUCAGCAAAGUGAAGUCUUUGUCUUUGGUGAUGAAAAUGGGAUGGUCUCCCUUGUCGACACCAAGAGCACAAGCUGUGUCCCGAGCUCAGCUGUCCACUCCCGGUGUGUCACUGGGCUGCUGUUCUCCCCACACAGUGUUCCUUUCCUGGCCUCUCUCAGUGAAGACUGCUCACUUGCGGUGCUGGACUCCAGCCUUGCUGAGGUGUCUAGAAGCGGAGCCCACAGAGACUUUGAAGAGAUGUUACUUGGUCCCCGCUCAAUCACUCGCUGUUUGCCUCAGUGGGCUGGGACCAUCAGGUCGUCCACCACAUUGUGCCCACAGAGCCUCUCCCAGCCCCUGGACCUGCGAGUGUUGCUGAAUAGAUUGGAUUUAAGACAAAAAGCAAGUCUCCCAUGAGUGUCCACUUCUUUGCCCUGCCCCCUCAACUUGUGAGUCAACACAGGAGCCUUCUAUAGUAUGCUGUUACUAGGUUUCUGCCAUUAAUAGGCAUCAUCUCUCAGCCUGAGGGAGGCUGGAUUCUGGGAUCCUGUAGUUACAGGGAGGAAAAGCUUUCUUAAAAAUGGACAUGUACGUGCGUCUGAGCAUGUGUGUAGAGCUGUAGUUUUUGGUGGUGGCAGGAAGAAAAAAUCCAUCCUAUACCUUCCCUAA